AGUGGAAUUGCGAAAGGUGUUGAUUUUAAUCUUGUUUGUUUGUGUGUAUUUGUUUGUUUGUUUAAUCCCUGUGUUUCGUUUGUUUUUUGGUGUUUUUGGCGAUUUUUCAUGUUACAUGUGAUACGCUUCGUUGUUCGCUUCGCAUACGACGAGGCAACUUGAUCGAUAGCAUAGUGGUGGUGGCCGAUGGUGGCGGUGACGGCGGUUUCAGAACGGGAUCCGGAUCCGAUUUCAGAAAGGAAAGUGCGUUGAUUGUGCCUUAAUUGAGGGCGGUAAUUGUGCCUCGUUAAUUAUGCCUCUUUAUUGAGGGCGUAAAUUGUGCCUCAAUUAUUGAGGGCGUAAAUUGUGCCUAUUUAUUGAGGGCGUUAAUUGGGCCUUAUUUGAGGGCGUUAAUUGUGUCUUAAUUAAGGAUAUUAAUAUUUUAUUAUGAUGCCUUAAUUAAGAGCUUAAUUGUCUCAAUCAUGAGUUAUCAUGAUUGUGGGAAUAUUUUGAUGUAAUCUGUUAAAUAUAUCGACUUAUAUUCUUUUUGUUUCUCUUUUAUUUUCAGGAUUCUGGGAAGAAGGCCGGUUUUCUUUUCGGACAUUAAAGUUUUAUUGUCUAAAUUUCCCCGGUCAUCUUGCAUGUCCGACGGUUAGAUAAUAAGCUUUCUUGAAUGAAAGAAUUAU
rnacentral:lncRNA from 1 species